AAUUCAGAAACUAUUCAGCAAUAAAAUUUGUAUGUAAAUAAUUCAUUUUAUAUUUGUUAAAAUGCCCAAGUCAGAGGAUAAAGUAAAUAUUUUAUUAUAAUAUAAUAUGACAUGAGUAUCAUGUCCAACCGACUCAAGGAGAGCGAAGGAGGGAGCCAUAACCGAUUCGAAGAAGGCCGUUCGACUAUCGAUGGUAUCGACUGAAUAAUCGCUAAAUCUGCGCGCCAAGGUCGAAUAUUUUGAAAGUGAAUGAGUGACAAUGAUACGAGCGCCACCCAGUGGAAAGUGAUUUGAGAGAUCGAAAAUUCUAAAAAAGCGGCGUAUACGUAGGGAUACUUAAUCUCUCUUUGCUGAAAGCGAAUCAUCUUCUGAUUUCAGCUCUGAGCAGCCGCAUCUAUCGGAAGUCCCUCCGCCUCAGUCGCACUUCUCUGGACGACACGGCAGUGCGGCAGGUGGUGAAUCUUCUGUCCAAAGCUGUUGGAUGGUCCUUAUCGACUAGUCACAUCAGUCCUCCGACUGAGGACUCUGAGGCAGUAGACCAGUCCCAUUCAAUGCCAAGAAUCUCGGAAGCGCCGACGAUUGUAGAAAGACACAUAGUCCACAUAGAGACGGGACAGGAAGUCCCUUCGGAAGAUGGGAUCGAUGAAAGGAGUUUGUGUAUUCAUUCGUCUGGCGUUCAAUCCAGCACAAGGCAGUAUUAGUGCCGUUGAAGCCAGUGCAAGACAGUAGUGGGCUUUCGUAGAAGGCACCAAAAAUGCCAAUCUGUCCUGAGCGCACGAGUGAGGACGGAGCGAUUCCCUAUGCCACACGAUACAUUUAUUCCUUU